UUCAUUUAAGUAUAAGAAGUACGCAGAUUUUUGAUAUCUGAGGGGAUAGUUUAAUUCUAUCAAAUGUAA
rnacentral:tRNA from 1 species